GGGUUGUGAGGUUAAGCGACUAAGCGUACACGGUGGAUGCCCUGGCAGUCAGAGGCGAUGAAGGGCGUGCUAAUCUGCGAUAAGCGCCGGUAAGGUGAUAUGAACCGUUAUAACCGGCGAUACCCGAAUGGGGAAACCCAGUGUGUUUCGACACACUAUCAUUAACUGAAUCCAUAGGUUAAUGAGGCGAACCGGGGGAACUGAAACAUCUAAGUACCCCGAGGAAAAGAAAUCAACCGAGAUUCCCCCAGUAGCGGCGAGCGAACGGGGAGGAGCCCAGAGCCUGAAUCAGCAUAUGUGUUAGUGGAAGCGUCUGGAAAGGCGCGCGAUACAGGGUGACAGCCCCGUACACAAAAGCGCAUGUGCUGUGAGCUCGAUGAGUAGGGCGGGACACGUGGUAUCCUGUCUGAAUAUGGGGGGACCAUCCUCCAAGGCUAAAUACUCCUGACUGACCGAUAGUGAACCAGUACCGUGAGGGAAAGGCGAAAAGAACCCCGGCGAGGGGAGUGAAAAAGAACCUGAAACCGUGUACGUACAAGCAGUGGGAGCACCCUUUGGGGUGUGACUGCGUACCUUUUGUAUAAUGGGUCAGCGACUUAUAUUCUGUAGCAAGGUUAACCGAAUAGGGGAGCCGGAGGGAAACCGAGUCUUAAUUGGGCGUUAAGUUGCAGGGUAUAGACCCGAAACCCGGUGAUCUAGCCAUGGGCAGGUUGAAGGUUGGGUAACACUAACUGGAGGACCGAACCGACUAAUGUUGAAAAAUUAGCGGAUGACCUGUGGCU
rnacentral:rRNA from 1 species